UCCAACAAAAGCGAAAGAUUUAAACGUCUGUCAAAGUUUUCAUUGAUCCACAUAGAGCACGUAUUCAAGCGAAUUCAGCGAAAAUCACCCUUCACCAAAGAGACAGAUCGGAUUCUGAGCCUGUUUGGGUCUUUCAGUUUUGGUUUCGUUCAUAAAACGAUCAGGAUACUAAACUUGGAAACUUCUACGUUUCCUGUUUGGUUUUUAUUUCAAUUUCUUGCUUUUGGUUUCUGGAGUCACACGACCAACGUAUCAAACUCGGCACGUGACACGUCCCG